CGCGUAGGCGGCAAGGCAAGUGGAAGGUGAAAUCCCCCGGGGCUCAACCUGGGAACUGCCCUCCAAACUGCUUUGCUUGAGUCCGGGAGAGGUGAGUGGAAUUCCCAGUGUAGCGGUGAAAUGCGUAGAUAUUGGGAGGAACACCAGUGGCGAAGGCGGCUCACUGGACCGGAACUGACGCUGAGGCGCGAAAGCGUGGGGAAGCAAACA
rnacentral:rRNA from 1 species